CCCGGCACAACGGCUUCCUGACGUGGCGGGCUCACCCCAAUGGAGCA
rnacentral:ncRNA from 1 species